AUGGUUAUAAUAGGAGGAGAAGCUGAUGGCAAUGAAGGAGAUGGUUCUGGAAGUCAGUCCCUUCGCCGGAGGACAAAGCGUGCUGCUAAUCGCCAGCCAUGCCCAAAACGUAGUGUUGAGCAGGGAGAGGAAGUUGAGACCAGCAUUGAAGGAGUUAAGGUGGCCGCCCGGGAAGAUGUGGAGCGACCAUCACAAGCUGGCAGGUUAAGGGCGUCACCAGGGCGGUUUGCGAAGUUCAACAACUCGCUAUCCCCGCUACAGAAGUCAGAGCUAGUUUCAAGGUUGUUUGGGGGCCUAUUGAACUUAUGA
rnacentral:rRNA from 1 species